rnacentral:lncRNA from 1 species
UGAAUUAAGCAAUGUAAUACCCGAAAAUUAUAUUCCAAAAAUAAUUCACUUAGGCUGUGGCGACCCCAAAUCCAGGUACUUGAAACCCGAACUCGGUUCUCCACGAUACCAUUUCUUUAAGCUGAAUAAUACUAAAUAAUAAUACAUUCGAACUUAAUUUACAUACAUCAAAGUUUACUUCCCCAGGUACGUGACCUUCAAAU